UUAGAUCAUACAAACUUUAACAACAACAAACACUAUAAGAUCUAUUCCACACAAGAAUAAUAACCAGCAAAUAACUUCAACUUACUUGAGAAGCACAAUUAAGUAUGUAUGGAUCCAUAACCUAUUGAAGAAAUACAAUAAGCAAGACACAAGUAAGUAGAAAUCAACAAGAUUAGACACAAGAGAAGUGUGGAAUGAGAUACCUCUCACUUCCAACACCCUUUACUUAUAAGUAGAGUUUACAUCCAUUGUAGCUCAACUUCAUUUUCAUUCAUCCUUAUUUCAUCCAAUUAUUCCCUAAAUUCUACUUAAUCUAGCUGCCACUCCAAAUCUAGUUGCCACUUAACUUAG
rnacentral:lncRNA from 1 species